rnacentral:misc_RNA from 1 species
UAAACACUUGCUGUUGAUAGAUAUAGCAGAAGGAUAGCAGUCAGUCGUCUUUAGUCAUAUUCGGUGUCUUAAAAUUAAGAAGUCCAUUUCCUUUAAAUUAAGAAGUCCAUUUCCUUUUGUCUUGCCUGGAAAGGAAGCUCACUUGGUUCUUGAGUCUCUGCAUCAGACCUUUUGAAAUUACAUCACUCUGAUGCUUUAGUGCCAAUUUGUUGCGAGUUGUGCUAGUAUUAGUCUAUUAGAUUUCUUGACAUUCUAUUAAUUAGAUGUGGUGCUCUCCUCUAUUCAGUUGUCUGGUUAUAUUCUUCCUCUAUUCUUCAGUCAAUGGCAGAAAUAGUUAAGGCAUCAAAGCAGGAGGCUAAUGCUUUGCUGGAUCAAACAAAGGCAUAUUGUGAGGAUGUGAAAUCUAGAAAGCUGAACCUGGAGAAGAGGAAAGAAAAGCUUUUUGAUGAUUCAGAUUCAUAUAGUGAUGAAAAUGUUGGCAAGGGGUCGUCAGAAUCUGGGACGCAUAUCUACUCUAAUGAUGUUCAGAUGCAAAUAGAGUGGGAGACUAUGCUGUUCAAAAUGAAUGACUUUAGAAGGUUUAGACAAACGGUUGGAUCUAUUGCAGGUUCAUGUUUAACAGCUGCAACUCCAUUACUUGCUUCAGCUAAUCAAGCAGCAUCCUUGGUAGCACUUGAUAUAGUUGAUGAUGUAUUUUUGACAGUAGCCAAAGUGGAGGAUGCCUACAAGCUUGAGAAGGAAAUCAAAGAGGCAAUUGAACAUGUGGCUCAUAUGUGUUCAUUUAAUA